ensembl:lncRNA
UAAGACAGCCAAGAGUCAACGAUUCACAUCACUACGUGGGGUGCCAAUACUUUUGAUACAGGGACAUAACGUUGUUACAGUGAAGAAGAGAAAUGAAACCGUUAUAACAUCGUAUCAGAAAUGUAAGAGAGGAACAAACUAGAAACUCACCACCGUGAAACGUUCCACUCAAGUCUCGCUCGCAACGUCGGUUCCGAUCGAUCUGUUCGAUCAUCCGCGUUUUCAGAAUCCGGCCUGGGCUUGAACGGAUGCGGUAAAACCGACGACAUCAUUAACUGUGUUUAGAAUCGCUUUAGAAGCCUUGGAAGCUGAAGCUCCCGAUUAGGGUAAGGGCCGUUACAUUUCCUACGCACACUUGAGGUUUUUGGCCAAUCACGACGCAACGGGUCAGCUGGCCAAUCAGAGCACUCUGGGCUUUUCGGAAGGCGGGGCUUUGGAGAAACCGGAACUCAAUCGGAGUCCAAAUGACUUCAAAAUAAACAACAACAAAAAAAAAACAACCAAACAUGAUGUACUGUGUAGUGUAAUUCCACCGCCAGGCGCUCUGCAGUCCCCUGAGUGCGUCGCCGAGUCUUACACUACUUUAAUGGAAAGACAGAGACUCUUGGCCCAUCCUCUCUCCGCCGAACAGUGAAUUAUAGGAACAGGUGCGCCGCUCCGCCUGCUCCAAAUGGAGUUCAAAUAUCUAAUUGAAAAAUUACAGCAGAGAUUAGCCCUGCUAAUUACUGCCCUUAAAGCCUCGUAGCAUCCGCACACUGCUAAUGCGCGCCGAGCCGGAGACUUCCGACAUGUUUAUAAUAGCGUGUCAGGUAUUUAACCAUGACCCCCCCCCCCCACUCCAUUUCUUUUUUUGCCGUUUGUCAGCUGUUGGACAGAGUGUGUGAAGACUCGAAGGUCUUACGUGGGUGCUUCUUGUGUGAAACGUGUUGCUUUUAUCCUGGCUUGACGAGCUCAUUAGAGCGUUGCAGAAGACUGGAACAUGAACGCUGUGAUCUUUUAUUCAUUCGCCAUUUCUGUGUUCUCCCCACUUCUUACCGCUCUGCGUACGACAUCCAUCACGCCUGAGAGAACCCGCGUUUCAGAAACCGAGAGACAGAGAGAAAGGAGAGAAAAAUAAAUGGGAUCGGUACGGCCGCUCCUGGCCAAACGGGUGCCCUAAGCAGAAUUGUGUUGAUGUUCCUCCCCCCUCCACCCACCCACUCCCUCCCUCCCUCCCUCCUCUCUCCUCCACAUGUUAUUGAAAAUAACAUUUUCAAUGAAAAGCAUUAAAAGAGCUUGUGUUAAACCUCGUAACUCCAUUGGAAAUAAUUUUUUUUAGUUUCAGGAAAAGUAACAGUUUCGGACAUACGAGGUUUCAGUCCGACAGCGACGAAUCGAUAUAUGAUAACAAUGAAGAAAUAAUAAUUGGGUCAAAUAAACUAUCAAAAGUAAGUCAUUUUAUGGUUUUAUUGAACAACACUGUUAAAAUACAUGAUGUAAUGUACAAUAUAUAAACAGUCAACUUAUGUUCAUUAUGUACUGUAAUAUAUCAAAUGCCUGCAGAGGGCGACAACAGCCUGGUGAUUGUUUUUGUUGCACUUUACAGAUCAAAUCCUUGUUUAAUAUUGGCCAAACCUUUCAUUAUAAAUGUCCUCUUAAUCUUUAAUAUUUGCUACAGCUUGGUGGGGGUCAAAUCACG